GACAGAGGUGCCAAGCGUUAGGCGGAAUCAUUGGGCUUAAAGCGUGUGUAGGCGGGUGCCUAAGUACCUUGUGAAAUCCCCCGGCUCAACCGGGGAACGGCUGGGUAUACUGGGUGCCUUGGGUCAUCUAGGGGCUGCCGGAACAAAUGGUGGAGCGGUGAAAUGCGUAGAUAUCAUUUGGAACGCCAACGGCGAAAGCAGGCAGCUGGGGAUGCACCGACGCUGAGACACGAAAGCCAGGGGAGCGAACGGG
rnacentral:rRNA from 1 species